GGGGCUACCGGCUAAGACGAAGCCGAUUCAGAUUGGAGCAAAUCGAACAUCGAUUUGAUUCUGUCGUACCGCGUAAGCAGCCAAGAUGGCGAUCCCCGAUUCGUGACGUCACAUGAAGUUCGGCAAGCCGAUUGAACGAAUGAUUUCAGUACUUUUGACACUAAAUCGCUACCGCGUAAAAAAUCGAAGUUCGGCGCCUGAAGCCGAUUCCCAUUGGAAGUGUCAGUUGAAGCCGGGCACUUUUCAGUAACCGUGAUCAAUUUUAAUUUCUUAUUUUCACUGUUUUUCAACAAUAUUAGGAGCUAUUUACGGUGGGCGACAAAUUUUAGGAACAUCUUAAUCAAUAUAAAAUUGAUAUCGGCGUGGAUUUUCGUGUUUAAAUACCUAAAUACAGUGUCAUGGAGAUAGUCGUUUUAUGGGCUGCUGCGGAAGAAAAUGUCUUCAGAAUCUUGAGCAAAUCGAUUGCAGGAUACUUCGAGAGAAAAGCCAGUAUAUACUUCUCACAGGUACAUCUAUUUAUAACAUUAUUUCUGACAAGUGGCUCAAUGUUUACAGAGGAAAAGUUGCUGAACUUACUAGAAGCGAUUUUUGAUCAUUUCAUACUUAUCUAUUUUGUUUUGUUUCAGAGAGUAGCUACAUUAAUAAUUUUAGAUUAUCAAAAGAUGCAUUUCGGACUUUGUAUCAUGACUUAGGACCAUAUCUGGAGGUCCAAUGCUCUACAACUGUGCAAUCGACUUUAAGUGACAAAUGCCCUCAAUCAGCCUGCAAUCGUGAGAUAAUAUAUCAAGUUUCCUCGGACAAAAACUGAGCAUGUAGAAGUCUCCAGAGGUUUUAAUGACAAAUUUGGAUUUCUUGGAGUACUUGGAUGCAUCCACGGCACACACAUUGCCAUUAUCCAACCUCACAAGUGGGAAGAGGCCUUCUUCAAUAGCAAGUAUUACCAUUCAUUGCAUGUUAUGUUGGUUUGUGAUGGAGAUAUGUGCAUUACAUUUGUGAUGCAUCCAAUGGGAGUGUUAGUGCUAGACUGCUAGCCAAGAUAACCAUAUUUGGAACAACAGCACUUUGAGAAGGGAAAAGGAACAUCUCCUUAAUUUAAAUAUGUUUAAGUUCAUUAAGUGGACUUGUGUGGUCCUUGAAAUGUAAAUUACAAAGUCAGUGUGGUGUAAUCAAAAGUGGCAGAUUUGUUAUUCAAUAAUACAACAUCUAAACAAACCUUUUUUUAUUGGCAUCAA